rnacentral:snoRNA from 1 species
ACCCCCUCAGGAUUGCACCUAGAGAGUUUCCAGUACUCUGCCAGUCUUGGCUAUAGGAGGGAGAGUCAAACAGAGGCCUAUCCAUUCCAUUCCUAACUUGACUAGUAGUUAGCGAGUGGAAGGCAAUCUGCUACAAUU